GGGGAAUCUUGCACAAUGGGGGAAACCCUGAUGCAGCGACGCCGCGUGAGCGAUGAAGCCCUUCGGGGUGUAAAGCUCUUUCGACGGGAACGAUAAUGACGGUACCCGGAGAAGAAGCUGCGGCUAACUACGUGCCAGCAGCCGCGGUAAUACGUAGGCAGCAAGCGUUGUUCGGAGUUACUGGGCGUAAAGAGUGCGUAGGCGGUUUCGUAAGUUUGGUGUGAAAUCUCCCGGCUUAACUGGGAGGGUGCGCCGAAAACUGCGGGGCUGGAGUAGGGGAGAGGUAAGCGGAAUUCCUGGUGUAGCGGUGAAAUGCGUAGAUAUCAGGAGGAACACCGGCGGUGUAGACGGCUUACUGGACCCUGACUGACGCUGAGGCACGAAAGCGUGGGGAGCAAAC
rnacentral:rRNA from 1 species